rnacentral:lncRNA from 1 species
GUGAUUAUCCUCUUGAUAUUCUACAAAAGCGCUUUUGAACCAAGAAUGACUUAUGCAAAACGCGCUUCUUUCGAAAAAUAGCUUUUCUAAAAAAAACUGAAUCAAAAGAACUUAACCGUAACGCGUUUUUAUUUAAGAACGCGAUUCUGCUUGAAACUGAAUUUGGUGAACGAAACACCAGCAAGAUCAACGACAAAAGGUGUUUCCUCCCUCGAUCCCAAGGUAUCCACCACAAGCGUAAGGAACCGUGUCGUAGAAAGUGAAAACAAAGAACAACGAGUGUGAAGAAGUUCCUCCACCGGGAUCGAAAUCGACGAUAAAUUCGUCAUGUAAUUGAAAAAUAUGAUUGUUGCUUUUGACGGCAGAAGCGAUUGGUUCCCGUUUUUCGGCGAAGCAGCAAACGCCGUAAACAGGUCCAGAGCAUGUGAAAACAGUAUCGAUGAUGAGAUGCUUUGA